AAGCAAUUUGCUCAUAGCCAUAGCUUUCUUGUGAAAGUAGGAUAUUAACCCAGGUGUCUUGGUGCUGGAGAACAGAACUGGCCAGAGUCCAUCCUGUCUCCCACCGGCAUCCCAUUACGAAAUGAACACAGAAAAGGCAGGUCUGCAAUGCCAACAUCUAGUAUCUAUCCCAAAGACCAGGGAGAAAGGAAGGAAAGAUUCUGGUUCUGUCCUCUUCCCCAAGGCAAGGCUGGCUGCCCUACCAACAGAGGCAAAGAGAAGAGUGUGCAAGGCUGGCUGCCCUCCCAACAGAGGCAAAGAGGAGUGUGUGUUGAAAUAUCCAUUGAAUCCCUGAGACAACUGGAUCCUGGCCCAUUGAAUCAUAAACUCAUUUCAGAGAAGAUGAAACUGAUGUGCGUCAAAAAGUAAACUACCCACAUUUUAACUGGGCACAUUCCUGUCAAUCUGAUGAGAAUCUAUUUCAUACCCUGCUUUAGCUGGUAGUCUGUCAAGGAAAUGAGCUGAACAUGUCUGUGUACAGCUUUUGUGCCAUCCCUGGAUGAGCGAGCUGUCUGCCUCUAUGUUCUCCACAAAAUGGAAUAUAGCUGUACACCCAAGCCAAGUUAUGGAGGCUGGGAAGACCUAGAAUGUGGCAUCACUAUUUGGUUAUUUAGAAAAUUGUUACCUCAAAAAUGACCUAGGGGUCCUUAGAAUAAUAACACACAGAAGAAUAGCCUCAUUUUUCUGUUGGGCCCAGGAAACCAUGCCGAUUACCGACCGAGCUCUCAAUGGAAAAAUGCAGUCGGCGUGAACCACGCACGAACACAGCAGAGAAAGAAGAAAACACACACCACGAGGAACCCUAAUAGGACAAUACAUUAUAAGCCUCAUGGUACAUCCACUUGGUGUGCUGGGAGAGUCAGGAUGAGGACCUGAGAAGAACAGCAGCUUGAACCUGACUUCAUUUAACAGCCCACUGCCCUCUUGCCAAGAACCCAUCACAGACCUUCCCAGAAGAGAGGGAUGAGCCUCACCUAUGAAUAAGUCCUCAGAAACUCAAAUUUGAUUCUAAUGGAUUGUUUUCUCAGAAAGACUGAGCAUGUCCCCCCACAUCUCUGUCAUUUCCCACAGUAGUAACCUCUGCAGAUGCCACAUAGAAAACAAAACAAAACAAAAAAACAUGAGGUUGGUGGGCAGAUAGGCAGGGUAUAAACAAACAGCCUUGUAACCCAGAAGCUGUGUGAUAUACAGUAAACUUCACAACACUGAAAAGAUGUCCUAUCUGUUAAAAUGGGGUAAUAACAACUACCCGAAUGUUUAGGAAUAGAACUUCAAUAAAUGAUACAUUUUAUAGUACAGCAGACCAUCCUGUAAAGGUUUCAUCCUUCACUGUGGUGAUAAAUAUCCCAAACCACAUUGAAAAGCAUUGCAUCUACAUUUAUCUACACUGUAACUGUACUGUAAAUCAUGGGGGAGGGGAGAAUCAUAAAAACACCACCUGUCACCGUGUCAUUAAAGCAAGUUGGAAGUGAUACUUACAGAAACACAGCAAGAGCACCCCCAGUCACACAGUUCAAUCUCUUAGCAAGCGUUUUCUUUCUAGCCCAGUGGUUCUCAGUUUGGAAUUUUUGGCACUGCCUAGAGAUAGUUUUGUUGUUAAAACUGAGAAAAGAGCCGGGCGUGGUGGCACACGCCUUUAAUCCCAGCACUCAGGAGGCAGAGGCAGG
rnacentral:lncRNA from 1 species